rnacentral:SRP_RNA from 2 species
GCUGGGCAUGGUGGCGGGUGCCUGUAAUCCCACUUACUCAGGAGGCUGAGACAGGAGAAUCGCUUGAACCCAGGAGGCGGAAGUUGCAGUGAGCCAAGAUCACACCACUGCACUCCAGCCUGGGUAACAGAGUGAGACUCUGUCUCAA